GCAAAAAUAAAGUACCUAAUGAAGUUGAAGAUUUCUUCUUUUUUCCUCCAAACCCUUUUUUUCCACCACCUAUUAUCCCUAAUCCACUUCAACCUCCACCUUUGAUUCCUAACCCUUUGCAACCACCACCUUUGAUUCCAAAUCCAUUUCAACCACCAAGUCCACCCUUGAUUCCUAAUCCAUUUCAACCACCAAGUCCACCACUUAUUCCAAAUCCAUUUCAACCUCCUCCAUCAAAUCCACCACUUAUUCCUAAUCCAUUUCAACCUCCCCCAGCAAGUCCUCCACCACUCAUUCCAAAUCCAUUUCAGCCUCCACCAUCAAGUCCACCACCAUCAUUUCCUUUUCCACCAAUAGUAAUACCAGGUUUAACUCCAUCACCACCGCCGC
rnacentral:lncRNA from 1 species